GUAGUUUCUUUUAAUUAUAUGAUCGAGCUUCAUGUUCUCCAUGUAGGCCUAUUCGGAAUUAAGAGACAAUAAUUAUUUUGCUGUGUGAAUGUGAUAGUCUGUUGUACAUUUGUCAUGCACCCCGUUGUUCUGUUGUGACACACUACUUUGUCUCAAAAGUGCUUUGUGUUCUGCCUCAAGCAAGAUUUUAGUUCAAGGAGAAAAGCAAAUCGUGUAGUAUUUCAGCUCGCUCUAUUUCCUACCAUUACGUUUGUGAUUCAGUAAAGUGCAUGCAACUCUUACUUCAGAGUAUGUAUUAAAGUUGAACCUGCAGUUUGUUCUAGGUCAGGGGUAUCAAACAUACGGUCCAAUCCGGCCCGAGGGCGUUGUUCUGCUUGUCAGAAGUGCUGGGCGAUAUGGCCUAAGUUUGAUAUCACAAUGUUUUUCUUAAUGUCCUUAAUGUCAAUAUUCGAUAUGACUCGAUACUUAUUGUAUUAAAGUUACUAAAUGUACAGAACGGGACCAGACCAAAAUGAUUUACAUUAUAAGAAAGAAGGUUUAUUUAACAACGAUAAACAUCAUGGAGAAAUACAUUACUUUUCCCUUCGGGUAUUGCAAAUAUAAUGAUCUCACAAUUAGUGAUGCACCCAAAUGAAAAUUCUUGACCGAAACAAUACAAAGGAAAAAGAAAAUGAGAAACCGGAUCCUAAGACUGGACCUCCUAACCGCUUGUUCGUACCCGACUUGGCACGUUGUGACUUUCUCCGGUGGGCCCACAGUUCAAAACUCACCUGUCACCCCGGAAUCACCCGCACCAUUCAAUUCGUACAACAACACUUCUGGUGUCCUAGCCUGAUGAAAGACACUGCUCCGUCUGUGCCCGAGGGAAGAAUUGCGCCCCUUACCUAUCCCGAGUCGCCCUUGGUCCCACAUCGCCUUGGACUUCGUUAUCGUCCUACCCCCUCUGAAGAAAAUCCCCAUCGGCAUCGUCUCAGGCUGAGGUCCUCAGUUCUCCUCCCUUGUUUGGAAAGAGUUCUGUAAAGCGGUGGGCGCAGCAGCCAGCUUGUCUUCUGGAUACCAUCCACAGAGCAACAGCCAGAGGGAGAGGACAAAUCAGUCACUGGAGUCGGGCCUUCGCUGCGUUGCCGCACGCAACCCCACCUCCUGGAGCUCAUUCCUCCCAUUAAUAGAAUACGCCCACAACUGCCUCACCAGCUCCGCCACUGGUAUGUCUCCGUUCAUGGCCUGCUACGGUUUCCAACCUCCAUUAUUUAGGGAACAGGAGCAUGCGGUGGCGGUUGUCGCGGUAAGGGAUCACCUAAAAAGGAUCCAGUACAUUUGGAAGGACGUCAGGGCGGCCUUAACUCGGUCUGCGGAGAGAAAUAAAAGGCUUGCGGACCUUCGUCGCUCCCCUAUGCCUGAGUACAAUGUGGGUCAGUCUGUUUGGCCUUUCUCCCGUGACCUCCCACUCCCGCAAACUCACUCCGUGCUUUAUUGGUCCGGUCCCGAUCACUAAAAUCAUCAAUCCCACGUCAGUUCAACUAAAAUAUCUGCAAUCUCUUAAGAUUCUUCCAUGUGUCACUAAUCAAGCCUGUCUCCACCUGCGCUCUUAGCCCUACGGCCGUACCCUCUCUGCCCUCCCGCGUUAUCGACGACCAUCUAGCCUUCACAAUGUCACGCAUCCUUGAUGUGAGGCCCAGGGUUAGGGGUUACCAGUUCCUGGUGGGCUGGGAGGGGUAUGGUCCGCAGGGAACGCUCCUGGAUCUACCGCAAGCUUAUUCUUGACGACACCCUGAUUUCUGACUUUUACGCGGCUCACCCUGGGUAGCAGGGCAGGACGCCACGAGGGGGGGUACUGUCAUGAGGUGUGCCCUGCAGUUCCUUUGUUGGAGCUUGGGUGGCGCUUUGCGCCCCUCUCGCCCUCUCUCUCUCUCGCUCUCUUCCCAGUAAUCAGCACUACCUCGGCCGCGCACCUGUUGUCAAUCAACCUUCAUCAUCACCUGCAUUUAAGCCUGCCUGCAAGACUCCACUGCCAGAACAUUAACGUUCAACCGUGUGCUCCUUCUGUGUUCCCCGCCUUGCUGACCUCUACCACCAUGCCGCCAAGCCAUCCACCUGGUCACGCCAUCGCCUGCCGCACGCUCCUUGUCUCGACGACCCGCCAGUACGCCUCAAGGAUCCAC